rnacentral:rRNA from 1 species
UACGUAGGGCGCAAGCGUUGUCCGGAAUUAUUGGGCGUAAAGAGCUCGUAGGCGGCUUGUCACGUCGGAUGUGAAAGCCCGGGGCUUAACUCCGGGUCUGCAUUCGAUACGGGCUGGCUAGAGUGUGGUAGGGGAGAACGGAAUUCCUGGUGUAGCGGUGAAAUGCGCAGAUAUCAGGAGGAACACCAGUGGCGAAGGCGGACCUCUGGGCCAUUACUGACGCUGAGGAGCGAAAGCGUGGGGAGCGAACAGG